UACGAAGGGGGCUAGCGUUGCUCGGAAUCACUGGGCGUAAAGCGUGCGCAGGCGGUUGUGCAAGACAGAUGUGAAAUCCCCGGGCUCAACCUGGGAAUUGCAUUUGUGACUGCACGGCUAGAGUGUGUCAGAGGGGGGUAGAAUUCCCCGUGUAGCAGUGAAAUGCGUAGAGAUGUGGAGGAAUACCGAUGGCGAAGGCAGCCCCCUGGGAUAACACUGACGCUCAUGCACGAAAGCGUGGGGAGCAAACAGG
rnacentral:rRNA from 1 species